AAGAUGUGUGCAUGUAUAUAUACAGUAUUUAUAUGUGUGUGUGUGUGUGUGUGUGUGUGUGUGUGCUUGUGUGUACAUAUUUAUUUUUAUAAUAAACUUAACUAUUAUUGUUAGCUAACUAGACAGUGUUAUAAAAUCUAUUUCUCUUGUUAUAUUGUAUUACAAUUAUUAAUAUGUUUGAUGAUUAGAGUUGUCACUACAACACAGAUAACAGUUAAAACAUGAUGAAUUAGGGCUUACUAACACAGUAUGGACAUAAUCAAUACAUUUAAUCAAGUUCAAUAAAGUAUAAAUUACCAUUAACCCACACUCCUCUGGAACCUACAAUGGAAAAGUGCCAUUUUACUGCCAGAGAAUGAAAGUGAAUCUUCCUCUGACCAAGCUAGACCUAUUUUUGUUUGGCUAUUUACGAUGCACUCGCUGGAAAUCAAUUAACCCCUAGAUUUUCUCUCUAUUGGCUGCUUGCAGAGGCUCCACAGUAGCUGUUUCUCAACAACCCUCAGGGGAAAGAAAAAUCACCCUGAGAUCAAUAUGGUUCAGUGCUGAGCCAGGCACAAAGAUUCACAUCACUUGAUAUUGGGAGACCUUCUCAACAGACAGUUUGCUGUAGCCUGGGUGCAUCAACAACAACAACAACAAUUUCAACAACAACAGCUACUACAGUAUAAAACCUUGCUGUCAGAAAUCCUGAGCUGUUUCUUUGGAAACCUGAAGCUGUGAGGAACUGCAGGUUUCUGUGAAAAGCUAAAGGCUCUCAGUCUCUCAUACUACAGCAAAAUAACCAUGAUGAGGCAACCAGGAAACACAAGAUUCUUAUUCUUCUUUUGAUUUCCUGGUGGAUCCCAAACAACUUUAACAAAGGUGCAUACCGCCACCUACUGUACAAGAGCAUGUAACCAGAAUCAGAAUCAGCUUUAUUGCCAAGUAGGUUUACACAUACCAGAAAUUUGCUUUGGUAUUUUGGUGCCUGACAAUAAACAUAGUAGAAACAUAAAGAAGUAUGAAGAAACAUAAAGCAGCAGGUCAAGAAUCGUAACUAUUAAAUAUAUAUGUACAAUAUGACGAUAUGUUAUUUAAGUUACAGCAUGUGCAAUGUGCAACAUAUUUACUUGUGAAUGUGCAAAAGUUUAUAUUAUUACUGUACAAUAUUUCUUAAAUUCUUCCUACCAGCUUUGUGUCACUUAAGAAUGUAAUGAGUGCCUUCCUAGUGGCUCUUACCCCCUCUUCCUCUCCUCCUGUUCCCAGUAUCCCCAUCAGAUUCCAGCCCCUCCCUGCCUCUCGGCCUCUAUCACGUAACCUUUCUCUUUCUGCUGCAUACAUAGUGUAGCGCAAUAUGAUAUGAUCCACUUUUUCUUUGACUCCACAGUUCCCACAUUUGUCACUGUUCCUUUUCCCCAGUACAAACAUAGUGCCAUUUAAUCCUGUGUGAUCCAGUCUGAGUCUUGUUAUGAUGAUUUGCUCCCUUCUGUUCCUUUCGUUAUAGCUCUUUGUUAAGACCGACUUUUGCAUUUGGUGAUUUAUCCUUCCUUUCUGGUCUUUCUCCCACUUUUUCUGCAAUAUCUCCAUUCCUUUCUUCUUAAUCACUGCUUUUCCUUCUCCUUUUCCAAGUGGAACUGGUACUUUUAUUACCUUUUGCAAUGCACUUUUUGCUAGUUUAUCAGCACACUCAUAACUGAACAUCUCAGAACUGAACAUCUAUACCACCUCUAUGAAGUCUUAGCAAGCUAUAGUAAAGUUCAAUGAGCAAAUCGUAUUAGUGAGAGAAUUGUGAUAACUAUCCCUGAGGUACAUUCUCUUUUCUUUUCCAAAAUACUCAUGUCUAUCUUAAUUUCUGGGAAAAGCCAAGGGGGUAUGCUGCUACCUGGGGUUGACUUAAUAGCUCCUAUACAUACACAUAAUGCUCUAUACUGUAGUCUAUCCACUUUUUACAACGAUGUCUUUGCUGCUGCUCCAUAUACUAUACAACCAUAAUCUAUUGUUGACCUCAUAAUCACCCUAUAAAUGUCAACUGAUGCCUUUUUAUCUGCCCCCAGCCACAGCUCGUAGAAGGUUUAUGCCUUUUUUGGAUUUUGUUAGUUUUUGAGAUGUGCUUUCCAUAUCUAGCCAUAUACCCAGGUACUUCAAUUCAGACACCCUCUCCAUCAGCUGACCAUAUAUUAGCUUCUCAGCAUCAAUCUUGCGCUUGUUUGUAAACAUCAUGUAACACGACUUACUCAUAUGACCACUUUCUCUAUUGCUUUCCUUGUAUUCUCUAACAUAUAAGGUAUAUUCUUUCCCCUCAUCCGUAUGGCCCCAUCGUCUGCAGUUAGUGCUUAUUUUCUGUAGCGCUUCUGUGUAUGAAACUUUUUCAUUAUCUUAACUCUCUGGGCUUCUCUGGCUUCUCACUGUACACUGCCUCCAAACGCAGCACUGUGCUCUCCUCCGCAGUUACAGCACGUAACCUUGGCAUCCUUUUCACAUUUUCCGUACUCACGUUGGCCUCCACAUCUUGCACACCUUAGCUUUCCUUCACACUGCUGUGCCGUGUGCCCCAGUCUUUGGCAUGCAUAGCACCUGAGUGGUUUGGGAAUGUAUUCCCUCACUCUGUAGUUCAUGUAACCCAUUUGCACUGACUUAGGCAGAGUUUUCUCAAACUGAACUACUACAGAUAGGGUAACCUUCAGUUAGCCAUCCCUUUUACUCUUAAUCCUUGUGGCAUCUAUUACUUUGCCUCCUUGGAUCUCAUUUUUAACAUCUUCCAUUGACAUACUCAGUGAGACAAACACACAUGAGGCAAAGCAGGAAUGAUGAAGGGAAAUGUACUCGAGGCAGCGGUCACAAAAAAUCUUACAGGUUAACAGGAAGGCAGUCCAAACAGUCAAACAAAUGAAGGUGUGGUGAUGGAAAAGGUGGGAAAGGGGAUACUGCAGGGCAGGAGGGAGUGGCUGGAUCUGAAAUCACAGGGGACUGGGAGAGGUGGGAAAGUCUGAGAGCAUACGGUGGAUGGAUGGAGAAUGGCAAUGCCCCCCACAUGUACUCACUCCUACAGAUAA